rnacentral:rRNA from 1 species
GAACGCUAGCUACAGGCUUAACACAUGCAAGUCGAGGGGCAGCAUGGUCUUAGCUUGCUAAGGCCGAUGGCGACCGGCGCACGGGUGAGUAACACGUAUCCAACCUGCCGUCUACUCUUGGACAGCCUUCUGAAAGGAAGAUUAAUACAAGAUGGCAUCAUGAGUCCACAUGUUCACAUGAUUAAAGGUAUUCCGGUAGACGAUGGGGAUGCGUUCCAUUAGAUAGUAGGCGGGGUAACGGCCCACCUAGUCUUCGAUGGAUAGGGGUUCUGAGAGGAAGGUCCCCCACAUUGGAACUGAGACACGGUCCAAACUCCUACGGGAGGCAGCAGUGAGGAAUAUUGGUCAAUGGGCGAGAGCCUGAACCAGCCAAGUAGCGUGAAGGAUGACUGCCCUAUGGGUUGUAAACUUCUUUUAUAAAGGAAUAAAGUCGGGUAUGGAUACCCGUUUGCAUGUACUUUAUGAAUAAGGAUCGGCUAACUCCGUGCCAGCAGCCGCGGUAAUACGGAGGAUCCGAGCGUUAUCCGGAUUUAUUGGGUUUAAAGGGAGCGUAGAUGGAUGUUUAAGUCAGUUGUGAAAGUUUGCGGCUCAACCGUAAAAUUGCAGUUGAUACUGGAUAUCUUGAGUGCAGUUGAGGCAGGCGGAAUUCGUGGUGUAGCGGUGAAAUGCUUAGAUAUCACGAAGAACUCCGAUUGCGAAGGCAGCCUGCUAAGCUGCAACUGACAUUGAGGCUCGAAAGUGUGGGUAUCAAACAGGAUUAGAUACCCUGGUAGUCCACACGGUAAACGAUGAAUACUCGCUGUUUGCGAUAUACAGCAAGCGGCCAAGCGAAAGCGUUAAGUAUUCCACCUGGGGAGUACGCCGGCAACGGUGAAACUCAAAGGAAUUGACGGGGGCCCGCACAAGCGGAGGAACAUGUGGUUUAAUUCGAUGAUACGCGAGGAACCUUACCCGGGCUUAAAUUGCAGAUGAAUUACGGUGAAAGCCGUAAGCCGCAAGGCAUCUGUGAAGGUGCUGCAUGGUUGUCGUCAGCUCGUGCCGUGAGGUGUCGGCUUAAGUGCCAUAACGAGCGCAACCCUUGUUGUCAGUUACUAACAGGUUCUGCUGAGGACUCUGACAAGACUGCCAUCGUAAGAUGUGAGGAAGGUGGGGAUGACGUCAAAUCAGCACGGCCCUUACGUCCGGGGCUACACACGUGUUACAAUGGGGGGUACAGAGGGCCGCUACCACGCGAGUGGAUGCCAAUCCCCAAAACCUCUCUCAGUUCGGACUGGAGUCUGCAACCCGACUCCACGAAGCUGGAUUCGCUAGUAAUCGCGCAUCAGCCACGGCGCGGUGAAUACGUUCCCGGGCCUUGUACACACCGCCCGUCAAGCCAUGGGAGCCGGGGGUACCUGAAGUGCGUAACCGCGAGGAGCGCCCUAGGGUAAAACUGGUGACUGGGGCUA